rnacentral:rRNA from 1 species
CGAACGUGGCCAAUCUGCCCAGAGGCAGGGGGUAGCCCGCGGAAACGCGGGGUAAUUCCGUAUGCGCUGAGCUCGCGAGUGGGCGGGACCAGCAAAGGAGCAAUCCGCCUUUGGAGGAGGCUGCGGCCGAUUAGCUAGUUGGUGGGGUAACGGCCUACCAAGGCGAUGAUCGGUAGCUGGUCUGAGAGGAUGAUCAGCCACACGGGGACUGAGACACGGCCCCG